rfam:Gossypium raimondii Chr11_contig_15, whole genome shotgun sequence.
UAUUAAAAAUUUCAUCUAUGUCUACUAUUAAAAAUUGGCGCGGCUAAUGGAAUAACCAAACAGUUACACACGUGCACCUCAUUUUUGCGUACAAAGACCAAUUUUUAAUUGUAGAAAUGGAUAGAAUUUUUCAUA